UACAGAGGUCCCGAGCGUUGUUCGGAUUCAUUGGGCGUAAAGGGUGCGUAGGCGGCGGGGCAAGUCUGAUGUGAAAUCCCGGGGCUCAACCCCGGAACUGCAUUGGAUACUGCCUUGCUUGAGUACUGGAGAGGGAACUGGAAUUUACGGUGUAGCAGUGAAAUGCGUAGAGAUCGUAAGGAAGGCCAGUGGCGAAGGCGGCUCACUGGCCCGGUACUGACGCUGAGGUGCGAAAGCGUGGGGAGCAAACAGG
rnacentral:rRNA from 1 species